CUUCUCUUAGCAUUACACGUAUCCCAUCCCAAAGUCCACUCUUCUUAUCUUCUAUUGCUGCACUAGAAAGUCCAACUCCUUUUCUACUUUCUCUAUUCCUUUUCUUUGUUCUUGUCUCUUUCUUCUUCCCUUCUUACACGACAGCACCAUCUCACCAUCAGCCCUCACUCUCUCACCAAAAAUCAUAGACAUCUCUCUCUAAGAAGAAAUUAAACUCUCACUAAAGUUUAGCAUCAGUUGUGGUGGCGAGAAUGAGAACAUGGCCACUUGAGCUCCUCUUGUACAAUCUCUCGCAUCUUCUGUUUUCAGUGCACAGGUUCUUCCUAGAAGCAUUGAGAGUAUUAGAGGUGGCAAAGAUUCUGUGAUUCUCGUUUGUUAGAAUGUAGAGUUUUUUGUUGUAUAGUAGUUUAGCUCUUUUGUUGUAUAAGAGGAAUCAAGAUGUACUUGAUCCUUUUAGCACAGAUGUAAUUUACGCUAUGUUUGUAUCAACGUAAAAUAUUUGUAAAGGUAAAAUAUUUUACAUGUAAAAUAUUUUACUGAAAAUAUUUUCAUUUUACCGUGUUUGGUUUGUAUUCCUGAAAAUGUAAAAAUAAAAAAUAAAAAAAAAAUUGUAUAUUUUAAAAGAAUUUUAACAAUCUCACAAAACAAUUUUGAGCAAGUCCAGGUCCACCCUCCAAACCACCACCACCACCCAAAUCACCACUAGAUCAGCACAAAUCCACCCACCACCACCCCGAUACUCCACUAACCACUCAAAUACACAAAUUGGAGAAUGAAAAACCAAAAAAAGAGAGGCCAAAGCCGGCCAACCACCCACCAUAACCCACAAACCUAGUCCUCACCAUGGCCCACAAACCAUUCCAGCCACCCGAAAAACUCAGCCAUUAACGAACCUACAAACAUCUCAACCACCCAAAAACGCAGCCAUCAACGGACCUACAAACAUCUCAGCCACCCAAAAACGUAGCCACCCACUGCAACUUAAAUACCCAGCCACCCACCACAACCCAUAAAACCAACCAAAAGGCCCAAAUCAAUAAACCCAUGUAGUGGUAAAAGAAAAAAAAAAACUAGAUCUGAGAACCGGUGGGUGAGUUGAUGAAGGUGGAGGUAGAGCCAGUGUGAUGGUGGUAAGAGAAUUGAUGGAGUAAGAGCUGGAGUAUGGUCAGAUCAAAAAAAGAAUCGGUGGGUUUGAGUGGUUGAACCAAACUCAGCGGGUGGAGGUGUGGAGGCGAGUCAGGUGACGAUGGCAAAGAUGUAGCCGGCGAUGAGAGCUGCCGGAGAUGAGUGGCGCCGAUGAAGCUGAGAAUGGCUUGGUGGCUCUGGUUUGUGGGAAGGAGAACUUAAGAGUGAGAAGGGACUGAGGAGUGAGGUCUAAUGGAGUAUCGGGGUGGGAGCUUGAAAGAAAAUGUAAAAUGUUUUACCAAAAUUUUAGGCGUAAAAUAUUUUACAUAAAUUUGUCUAGUUGAUUUUAUUGACUGAAAAUAUUUUACUUUUGACUAAAAAUUUUACUAUAAAACAAACACCGUAAAUUAGGAAAAUAUUUUUCUGAAAAUAUUUUACGUCAAAGCAAACAGAGCGUUAGAACCUUAGUUUGUUUUGAACCCCUAUUGUAUGUCUUUGGGGUUAGGUUUGUAAUAAGAGUUUUGCUAAACGUUUAACUAUGUAAUAUUUACACGUAUACCUUAAGUUUCAA